AUUGAACGCUGGCGGAAUGCUUUACACAUGCAAGUCGAGCGGCAGCGCGGGGCAACCUGGCGGCGAGCGGCGAACGGGUGAGUAAUGCAUCGGAACAUGUCCAUGUCGUGGGGGAUAGCCCGGCGAAAGCCGGAUUAAUACCGCAUACGCCCGAGAGGGGAAAGUGGGGGACCGCAAGGCCUCACGCGAUUGGGUUGGCCGAUGUCCGAUUAGCUAGUUGGCGGGGUAAGGCCCACCAAGGCGAUGAUCGGUAGCUGGUCUGAGAGGAUGAUCAGCCACACUGGGACUGAGACACGGCCCAGACUCCUACGGAGGCAGCAGUGGGGAAUUUUGGACAAUGGGGGCGAACCCUGAUCCAGCCAUUCCGCGUGAGUGAAGAAGGCC
rnacentral:rRNA from 1 species